ACGAUGAAGAACGCAGCGAAGUGCGAUAAGCAAUGCGAAUUGCAGAGCCGAGAGUCAUCAGAUUUUUGAACGUAACUGGCGCCGGGGAGUUCUCUCCCCGGCAUGCUUCUUUCAGCGUGUGCUUCUCUCCUCACCCAGACCUUAAUGCGAUAGAUGCCCUUCUAUUGCUAAGCUCGAAAGCACUCUGUUCUCUGCAGCGAAAGCCUCACGGCCGACGCACUCAAUGCAGUAGUCACAUUCUCAAAUGUGAACUCAUUGAGAGUAGAGUCAGUGCAUGCUUGCAUGCCAGUGCUUGGACACUUAAAUUUUACACAGCACCUGAUAUGAAGUAGGACCACCCGCCGAACUUAAGCAUAUCAUUAAGCGGAGGAAAAGAAACUAACCAGGAUUCCCUCAGUACGGGCGACGGAAGCGGGAAAAGCCCACAUUGGUAAUCUCCGGGCUUUGGUCCGGCGAAUUGUAAUCUGCAGAUGUCUAGCCUACCUGCGUCGGACGCCGAAGUGCACACAUGAGCGUGCCGCCAGAGAGGGUGAGAGCCCCGUAAGGUGUCUGACGCUACCCAGGCUGGGCCUCGAAGAGUCGUGUACUUUGAUACUAGUGCACUAAGCGGGAGAUAAACUUCUUCUAAGGCUAAAUAUAAGUAGGAAACCGAUAGCGAACAAGUACUGUGAAGGAAAGAUGGAAAGCACUUUGGAAAGAGAGUUAAAAGACUUGAAAUCGCUGAGGCGGACCCGGUAGAAAUGUAUUCUAGCGAAGCGCUCUGGGAAGCUCGUACGCGAGCCACUCGAGCGCCAGCCGAGACAAGAUGGAGUCGUCCGAUGCCAGAGGCCCGUGCGCGCGCCGCUCCGGCGGAGCGCGCGCUGGGUUGGGUGUCGUUGGGUGUCGGGCGGCUUGAGGGGCCUUGCGCGAUCUUGUCAAAAUGGUUUUUACCGACUCGUCUUGAAACACGAACCAAGGAGUCUAAGACUAACGCGAGUGUGGUGGUGGAGAAACCAACACGCGAAAUGAAAGUAAAUGAUGCCAAGCACCCUGCAGCAUCGACCGACUUUUUUCUUCUGGAAGAGGUUUGAGUAAGAGCGUUAUUCUUAGGACCCGAAAGAUGGUGAACUAUGCCUGUGUAGGGUGAAGUCAGGGGAAACUCUGAUGGAAGCUCGUAGCGAUACUGACGUGCAAAUCGUUCGUCAAACAUUGGUAUAGGGGCGAAAGACUAAUCGAACCAUCUAGUAGCUGGUUCCCUCCGAAGUUUCCCUCAGGAUAGCUGGGACAACUACGCAGUUUUAUUAGGUAAAGCGAAUGAUUAGAGGCAUCGGGGAUAAAAUGUCCUUGACCUAUUCUCAAACUUUAAAUUGGUAAGAACUCCCGUCUUCUCUUAAUUGAAGCAGGAGGUUCAAUGCGUGUCCUUAGUGGGCCAUUUUUGGUAAGCAGAACUGGCGACGAGGGAUGCUCCUAACGUUGGGUUAAGGUGCCAAACUGCACGCUCAUCAGAAACUACAAAGGGUGUUAGUUCAUAAAGACAGCAGGACGGUGGCCAUGGAAGUCGGAACCCGCUAAGGAGUGUGUUACAACUCGCCUGCCGAAUGAACUAGUCCCGAAAAUGGAUGGCGCUAAAGCGUGUGACCGAUACCCGACCAUUGGUGCGAGAGUGAUGCAUCAAUGAGUAGGAGGGCGUGGGCGUCGUGGAGAAGCCUCUAGCGUGAGCUUGGGUUGAACGGCGUCUAGUGCAGAUCUUGGUGGUAGUA
rnacentral:rRNA from 1 species